GUCGAACGGGGUAGCAAUACCUAGUGGCGAACGGUCGCGUAACACGUGGGCAACCUGCCCCAGAGCGGGGGAUAACACUCCGAAAGGAGUGCUAAUACCGCAUGUGGACCCUGUCGGCAUCGAUGGGUGUCUAAAGAUUUAUCACUCUGGGAUGGGCCCGCGGCCUAUCAGCUUGUUGGUGGGGUAACGGCCUACCAAGGCUUCGACGGGUAGCUGGUCUGAGAGGACGAUCAGCCGGAUUGGGACUGAGAUACGGCCCAGACUCCUACGGGGGGCAGCAAUUAGGAAUCUUGCACAAUGGGCGAAAGCCUGAUGCAGCGACGUCGCGUGGAGGAUGAAAUCUUUCGGGAUGUAAACUCCUUUUAACGGGGAAGAAACAAAUGACGGUACCCGUUGAAUAAGCCCCGGCUAACUACGUGCCAGCAGCCGCGGUAAUACGUAGGGGGCGAGCGUUGUCCGAAGUUACUGGGCGUAAAGCGCGCGUAGGCGGGUUCUUAAGUGAGGGGUGAAAGGUUCGGGCUCAACCCGAACACUGCCUUUCAUACUGGGAGCCUUGAGUAUGGGAGAGGCGAGUGGAAUGGUCGGUGUAGCGGUGAAAUGCGUAGAUAUCGAUCGGAACACCCAUGGCGAAGGCAGCUCGCUGGCCUAAAACUGACGCUGAGGCGCGAAAGCGUGGGGAGCAAACAGGAUUAGAUACCCUGGUAGUCCACGCCGUA
rnacentral:rRNA from 1 species